UUCUUAUUGAAUGAUGAUUGUCACGUAUCAUGUGGAUGUUAAUUCCAUAAAAGAUGAAAUACAUUGUUGUUUUCAUUGACCCAUCAAAACAUGACACGUGAAAGUCAUCAUUC
rfam:Glycine max cultivar Williams 82 chromosome 1, whole genome shotgun sequence.